rnacentral:rRNA from 1 species
UUCCAGUAGUCAUAUGCUUGUCUCAAAGAUUAAGCCAUGCAUGUCUAAGUACAUACUUUUGCACGGUGAAACCGCGAAUGGCUCAUUAAAUCAGUUAUGGUUUCUUAGAUCGUUUCUUUUACAUGGAUAACUGUGGUAAUUCUAGAGCUAAUACAUGCAAAAAGCUCCGACCGUAUGGGAAGAGCGCUUUUAUUAGACCAAAACCAAUGGGGUCGCAAGAUCCCUUUGUUUGGUGACUCUGGAUAACUUUGUGCUGAUCGCAUGGCCUAGAGCCGGCGACGUAUCUUUCAAGUGUCUGCCCUAUCAACUUUCGAUGGUAAGCGAUUUGCCUACCAUGGUUGUAACGGGUAACGGGGAAUCAGGGUUCGAUUCCGGAGAGGGAGCAUGAGAAAUGGCUACCACAUCUACGGAAGGCAGCAGGCGCGCAAAUUACCCACUCCUAGAACGGGGAGGUAGUGACGAAAAAUAACAAUACCGGACUCUAAGAGGCUCGGUAAUGAAAUGAGA